rnacentral:rRNA from 1 species
CCUACGGGGGGCUGCAGUAAGGAAUAUUGGUCAAUGGACGAAAGUCUGAACCAGCCAUCCCGCGUGCAGGAUGAAAGCCCUAUGGGUUGUAAACUGCUUUUAGCAGAGAAGAAAAGCUUUCAUUAAUGAGAGUCUGACGGUAUCUGCAGAAUAAGCACCGGCUAACUCCGUGCCAGCAGCCGCGGUAAUACGGAGGGUGCGGGAGUUAUCCGGAAUUACUGGGUUUUAGGGGUAGGAAUAAGGAGGUGGUGAAAUGUUGUGGCUUAACGGUAAAAUUGCGAAUGAGACUGGUACUCUUGAAUUGGGUUGAGGUUAGCGGAAUGUGACAUGUAGCGGUGAAAUGCAUAGAUAUGUCAUGGAACACCAAUUGCGAAGGCAGCUAACUGGGCCUUGAUUGACGCUGAGGCACGAAAGCGUGGGUAGCGAACAGGAUUAGAUACCCCAGUAGUC